UGGAUGAAGAACUGCACCAGGAGGCCUGCGACUAAGUCUGGGAACCUGAGGGAAAGAGAGAGUGGUUCCUGCAGAAGAAUCUGAAGUCAUGGAGCUACGGCAUUUCACAUGGAUCAGGAAACCACCUGAAAGACUGGACUUGUAAUUUCAUGACCUGUCAGAUCUGUGCUGUCACUCACUGUGAAUCAUGGAAUAGAAUGACAGAAU